ACAGAUAAUGUUUCAUUUCGCAAAAAAGUUAACUCAGUUAAGGUGGAUGUCCAAGUUUCGCAUUUUAAUUUCCGGUUCGCGGCUAAACUGCCACGGAAUUGUUGGCACUUCAAGGUGGUGCUAAAAAAAUUACAUCAAAACAGGAUGAUGUUCUAUAACAUUCGUUUUGAAAUGAAACUGUUUUUGGUAAUAAUAAGAACUACGUGGUAGUUCAGAUCGUCAUCAAGUUCAGUGCAUAGGUGUUUUGUUAGUCGCUUCAAUUGUUAAGAAAGUGUUCAAGCUCAGCGAUUACUAUCAUUAUAUAAAAACACACUCAAAAAGUAUGUAGGCUUCAAUCCAAAUCUGCUGAACCAAAAAACAAAAGAAGAAAAUGAUAUUUACCCAUUACGACUAAACUUAAUUUCGAUAAAUCAAAAAAAUCUUCGAGAUUUAAAUUAGCGUUAGUACGAUGAUAGGUGAUGUAUUAAAAAUAAAUUAAGGAAAAUAAAACAAGAAGUUUUAGAAAUGCAUUAUCUUGGAAGAGCUUAAAUUGUAACAUUUGGCUCCAAACACUACCUCAGUGUAUCCCAAUAUAUAAAAUUCAGAGACUUCUUUUAAAUACGGAUCAAAAGAAAAUGAUUUUUUAAUUCUCUUGAUUGGUUUUAUUUGAAAUUAAAAGAAUUCCUGGAACAGGUCAUAUCUGAAGCAACUGGUAAAUUCAACAAGCGGUAAGUAAUCUGCAAACAACGCAGAAACAAACAAUGAUCUGAUAGAUUAAGCUUCCUAGUUGGCAAAGUAGAAAUACAAUAAACUGCUCAGGAAAUUAAUUGCAAGGCAUAUGGUAGUCACUUGUGGAAAAAAGUUGUAAAAUUUUAGGUCAUGCUUUUCUAAUUAAGUACCCAGACAAACUUGUCAGCGCGCCAUUCUAGGUGUUACAAACGCUUGCGAACAAUUUGAGACCAUUUAUUCAAGGUAGACGACAUCAUUUUUAGCAGCUUCUCAUAAAUGCUCCAAGUCCACUCUUUCGCAGCCAGCAGAAAUUCAUCCUCACACUUAGAUCAAUCGUGUUGAUUUAUAAAUAUUAAAAAUCUCAAUAAGUCAUUGAUGAUAAAAU